rnacentral:rRNA from 1 species
AAGGAGGCAACCGGAAUAGAUACCCCGGGUAGUCCUAGCCCUAAACGAUGAAUGCUUGGGUAACGGGUAUCGAUCCCUGUUGUGCGNAGCUACGCAUUAAGCAUUCCGCCUGGGAGUACGGUCGCAAGGCUGAAACUCAAGGGAAUUGACGGGGGGCCCGCACAAGCGGUGGAGCAUGUGGUUCAAUUCGACGCAACGCGAAGAACCUUACCCAGGCUCGAACGGCAAGUGACAUCCGGCGAAAGCCGGCUCCCGCAAGGGCAGUUGCCGAGGUGCUGCAUGGCUGUCGUCAGCUCGUGUCGUGAGAUGUUGGGUUAAGUCCCGCAACGAGCGCAACCCUUGUCCGCUGUUGCCAUCAGGUUAAGCUGGGCACUCUGCGGAGACUGCCGGUGAUAAACCGGAGGAAGGUGGGGAUGACGUCAAGUCAGCAUGGCCUUUAUGUCUGGGGCUACACACGUGCUACAAUGGCAGAUACAAACCGUCGCGAGACCGCAAGGUGGAGCUAAUCGGAGAAAGUCUGUCUCAGUUCGGAUUGCAGGCUGCAACUCGCCUGCAUGAAGUUGGAAUCGCUAGUAAUCGCGGAUCAGCACGCCGCGGUGAAUACGUUCCCGGGCCUUGUACACACCGCCCGUCACAUCACGAAAGCUGGCUGUACUAGAAGUCGCCGCGCUAACCCGCAAGGGAGGCAAGCGCCUAAGGUAUGGUUAGUGAUUGGGGUGAAGUCGUAACAAGGUA